GAUGAGCGCUAGCUACAGGCUUAACACAUGCAAGUCGAGGGGAAACGAUAGAGAAAGCUUGCUUUUUCUAGGCGUCGACCGGCGCACGGGUGAGUAACGCGUAUCCAACCUGCCCAUCACUUGGGGAUAACCUUGCGAAAGUAAGACUAAUACCCAAUGAUAACUCUAGAAGACAUCUGAAGGAGAUUAAAGAUUUAUCGGUGAUGGAUGGGGAUGCGUCUGAUUAGCUUGUUGGCGGGGUAACGGCCCACCAAGGCGACGAUCAGUAGGGGUUCUGAGAGGAAGGUCCCCCACAUUGGAACUGAGACACGGUCCAAACUCCUACGGGAGGCAGCAGUGAGGAAUAUUGGUCAAUGGGCGAGAGCCUGAACCAGCCAAGUAGCGUGCAGGAUGAUGGCCCUAUGGGUUGUAAACUGCUUUUAUAAGGGAAUAAAGUGAGUCUCGUGAGGCUUUUUGCAUGUACCUUAUGAAUAAGGACCGGCUAAUUCCGUGCCAGCCGCCGCGGUAAGAC
rnacentral:rRNA from 1 species